UACGUAGGGUGCAAGCGUUGUCCGGAAUUAUUGGGCGUAAAGAGCUCGUAGGCGGUUUGUCGCGUCGAAUGUGAAAACCCGGGGCUCAACCCCGGGCCUGCAUUCGAUACGGGCAGACUAGAGUUCGGUAGGGGAGUCUGGAAUUCCUGGUGUAGCGGUGAAAUGCGCGAUAUCAGGAGGAACACCGGUGGCGAAGGCGGGACUCCGUGGGCCGAUGACUGACGCUGGAGGAGCGAAAGCGUGGGGAGCAAAC
rnacentral:rRNA from 1 species